AGGAGCCGCGCGGCGGCAGGGAGCUGGAGAGGGGAAGGCGCUGGCUAGGCCGUUCCCGGGAGCUCUAGUCUUCCGCUUCGGCACGUGGGCUUCUCGGUUCUAGGUCUCCGCUUCCGUCUGGCUGCGCGGCCUGGGUUACCUGCUCACGUUCACUCGCGGGCCUACAGCCCCAAGCUUUCCCAGCUGGACUGCGGAGUGCCUUGGGCCCUGACUUCCCUCCGGGAGAUCCGGGGCGUCUGAAGUCAGGCAAACAGCCACACCAGCCCCGAGGACCGCGUGGCCGCUAGCCCAUCUCCCUUUUCUAUAACUUUAUUCGCUCAGUCUGUGCGGAGAGAAGCUGUUAACUAAAAGUUCUUGAAGGAAAAGGGGCUAAGGGAAACUUUGGUCUAGGGAUUUCUUCCUCGCCUUAUAGUUAAAGCGUCGCACACAGGUACUGGAUCACAGAAUGCGUUUAAUUGAGCCAAUUUCCCCCCUUUUCCUCUUGGUAGUUGAGAGCAGGGGCCUUUGAAAUUUGGGAAUUUCCAAUCUGGAUUUCGCCACUCAUUGACUGUAUGACCCUAGACAAAUUAACUUCUCUGGACUUCAAUUUCGUUCUGGAUAAAAUGAGGCUAUUAAAACCACCUUAUGAGGUUAUUCGUGUGAGAAUAAAAUGAGACAAUGCGUGUUGAGCUCAUAACAACAGUACUCAGCACAUACAGAAAAGGCUUGUGAGUAGUCGCUGUUGUUAAUAUUAGGAUUUCAUCCCAUCUCACCCACAUCAUAUCAAUACCAUGAGCGCCACUGGAGAAGGAAUUCUUUCAUUUAGGUCCUGGCCUUCAGAUGUCAUUCAGGUAUUUGUUGUAAUGAAUAUGAUACCUGUCCAAAAAUUGUGACACUAGAAGCUCCUUUUAAAGGGAUUAGUUGCUAUUAAUAUUAAAGGAUGUAAAUAGGUCGCCAUCCCCAUUUUACAAGUGAGGAAACAAUAUCAGAAAGGUUGAUUAAUUUGGAUGAAGUCACACAACUAGUAAAUGGCAGCAGCAUAUUUCAAACCACAAUCUAACUGAAAAUCUGGCCGUAAUCCCAGCACUUUGGGAGGCCAAGAUAGGGGGAUCAGUUGAGCCUAGGAGUUGGAGAACAGCCUGGACAACGUGGUGAGACCCCAUCUCUACCAAAAAACAAAAAUUAGCUGGGUGUAGUGGCACAUACCUGUAGUCCCAGCUACUCAGGAGGCUGAGGUGAGAGGAUGGCUUGAGCCUGAGAGCUCAAGGUUGCAGUGAGCUAUGAUCACUGCCGCAGCACUCUAGCCUGGGUGUAGAGCAAGACCUUAUCUCUAACAAAAUAAAUACAAAUAAAAAGUAAAACUAAAACUAUCUGAAAAAUCUGUUUCCUUUCAGCGAGAAUUCAUUUUUAUUUUUUGAGAUGGA
rnacentral:lncRNA from 10 species